UGGCCACGCAAGUCUAUCGGGAAAUCCGCGCGCUCAACGCGCGGGCGUCCGGUGGAAACUGCGUGGCUUGGGACCGGAAGACCUGAGGGGUACGUCUGGGGUAGGAGUGAAAUCCCGUAAUCCUGGACGGACCACCGGUGGCGAAAGCGCCUCAGGAAGACGGAUCCGACGGUGAGGGACGAAAGCUCGGGUCACGAACCGGAUUAGAUACCCGGGUAGUCCGAGCUGUAAACGAUGUCUGCUAGGUGUGCCCCUGGCUACGAGCCAGUGGUGUGCCGUAGGGAAGCCGUGAAGCAGACCGCCUGGGAA
rnacentral:rRNA from 1 species